rnacentral:tRNA from 1 species
GCUCGGUAGCUUAGUUGGUAAAGCGCUCGUCUAGCAUACAAGAGUCCUGGGUUCAAGUCCCCAGGCCGAGCA